UGAGGAAUUUUAAGGGGAUGAUGACCUUUUACUAUCGCUGGAUCUUCGGAAAUAAGUCAGUGUUAAAAAGACCUGUAUCCCUUCGGUAAGGAGAACGGCUAUAUUCACGGUAGCAGGUCGGUCGAUUGGUACUGCAGGUGGAGCAAGUCUAUUUAGUAUCGCCGAACCAAAUGUAUCAGGUUAAGUUACUUCCGUCUUAGACGAGAUAACGCCGCCACUAUAGGCCGUAGAUCACAGAUGAUGGAUCAAGCGCA